rnacentral:rRNA from 1 species
UGGGGAAUUUUGGACAAUUGGCGCAAGCCUGAUCCAGCCAUGCCGCGUUCGGGAAGAAGGCCUUCGGGUUGUAAACCGCUUUUGUCAGGGCAGAAAUCCUUUGAGCUAAUACCUCGGGGGGAUGACGGUACCUGAAGAAUAAGCACCGGCUAACUACGUGCCAGCAGCCGCGGUAAUACGUAGGGUGCAAGCGUUAAUCGGAAUUACUGGGCGUAAAGCGUGCGCAGGCGGUUAUGCAAGACAGAUGUGAAAUCCCCGGGCUCAACCUGGGAACUGCAUUUGUGACUGCAUAGCUUGAGUACGGCAGAGGGGGUCGGAAUUUCGCGUGUAGAAGUGAAAUGCGUAGAUAUGGGGAGGAACACCAAUGGCGAAGGCAAUCCCCUGGGCCUGCACUGACGCUCAUGCACGAAAGACUGGGGAGCAAAC